rnacentral:misc_RNA from 1 species
UGAUUCAAGGAGGACUGCAUUAGGUUAACUGACAGCAGGAUACUAGCUAUAUCUCUCUGACAUCGAUCCAAUGUGAACAAGAUGGACGAAAAGGAUUAUAAUCAAGCCAAACCUGUUUAACACUGAUGCUAAGUUGAGUUCAGGUAAAUAUUUCUAAAAAUCUAAGAAAAAAUUAAAAAAAAAAUAAAAACCAAAUUAAGAGA